GACGAACGCUGGCGGCGUGCUUAACACAUGCAAGUCGAACGGUGAAGGGACUGGUUUUGCUGGUCCUGGAUGAGUGGCGAACGGGUGAGUAACACGUGAGUAACCUGCCCCCUUCUUCUGGAUAACCGCAUGAAAGUGUGGCUAAUACGGGAUAUUCUGGGUCUGUCGCAUGGUGGGCCUGGGAAAGAUUGCGCCUUUUUUGGUGUUUUUGGUGGGGGAUGGGCUCGCGGCCUAUCAGCUUGUUGGUGGGGGGAUGGCCUACCAAGGGGGUGACGGGUAGCCGGCCUGAGAGGGUGGACGGUCACAGUGGGACUGAGACACGGCCCAGACUACUACGGGAGGCAGCAGUGGGGAAUAUUGCACAAUGGGCGAAAGCCUGAUGCAGCGACGCCGCGUGAGGGAUGGAGGCCUUCGGGUUGUGAACCUCUUUCGCCAGUGAAGCAGGCCUGCCUCUUUUUGUGGGUGGGUUGACGGUAGCUGGAUAAGAAGCGCCGGCUAACUACGUG
rnacentral:rRNA from 1 species